rnacentral:tRNA from 1 species
GCGCCCGUAGCUCAACUGGAUAGAGUAUGACUACGAAUCAAGAGGUUACAGGUUCGACCCCUGUCGGGCGCACCA